rnacentral:rRNA from 1 species
UACAGAGGGUGCUAGCGUUGUUCGGAAUCAUUGGGCGUAAAGGGCGUGUAGGCGGUUUGUUAAGUCAUGUGUGAAAGCCCUCGGCUUAACUGAGGAAGUGCAUCCGAAACUGCUGAGCUUGAGUACGAAAGAGGAUCGCGGAAUUCCCGGUGUAGAGGUGAAAUUCGUAGAUAUCGAGAGGAACACCUGCGGCGAAGGCGGGUUGCUGGGCUGACACUGACGCUGAGGCGCGAAAGCCAGGGGAGCGAACGGG